GCGAGAGUGGUGGAAUUGGCAGACACGCCAGAUUCAGGUUCUGGUGGUAUUAAUACUGUGCAGGUUCAAAUCCUGUCUCUCGCACCA
rnacentral:tRNA from 1 species